UCUCAGGAAGUUUGUUCUGGACCCAUCAACUGCAUUCAUUUUCCUUACAGGCCAUUCCGCAGUGCAGGCCACUGGGCCCAGAGGGACUUGUGAGAGUGUGCGUGGCCCAGCACAAACCACUGACACUACUGAAAAUGUUCUGGAUGCCAUUCUGGGGGCAAAGCAGUCGGCGUCUGCACUGCCAAAUUCUCAGAUGUCCCAACAUUCGUAAAUCUUGCUAUAGAAGAGGAGGAGCCUGGAGCCAGAGGCUGCUUGAAGACAAUCCUCUAAAAGACAGUUCAUUUCCAGAAGUGGAGCUUUGGAAAGCAGUCUCCGACUAACUGUGAACCAACCAGUUAACGAAAACCUCAUUUGGAUAUCGAAAAAGGUUUAAAUAACCAACUUAAUUGAACAUAAGUCAGACAAAUAAACCUGAGGCCCACUUAGUUUAGGCCAUACUGUGAUCUACAACCCAGGGGAGCAAAUCAUCACUUGCAUCCUCUAAACGAGUAGUCAUAGGAUAAAUUAGACCCCAGUGUUCACUCAGGGUCCAGGACCAACUUUCUACAACACCAGCUGACAAGACUUUGUUCUCUCCCUCCUCCGGGAUCUGAGAAGUUGAGAUCAUUUGAUGAACUGGAAGGGCUGAGGGACUUGAUUGUAGGGGUGCGGAAAAUGGUCUUUGGAGAAGCCAAACAGCUAAAUAGAAGGCUGAAGAAAGGCUACAGGAGAAAAACCUAAUGACUAUUUGAAGAUUGUGUAAGCUCUUGUUUAAAAUAGAACUUUCAGAUUUGCCUGUUUCAGAAUUUGGCAACAAGCGUCAUGACGAACUCAUCCGGAUUAUAUCUAGGAUGAUUACACUAAUUCACUUAGUUCCCUUCAAUAUCACCAAGGGAAUAGGGGUGGGGAGAAGACCUACAGAGAGCACUGUUUAUGCCAAGUCCCUUUCCCAGUCAAAGGUCAACCACUUCUAGAUGGUGCUUAAAAACAUAUUUUAUUUAAGUUCGCCUCAAAUCUGUUUUGUCUCAAUUGAAUAAAAUCUAAAAUAGCUCACUUAA